rnacentral:rRNA from 1 species
GAUUAACGCUGGCGGCGUGCAUAACACAUUCAAGUCGAACGGUGACGGGGCUUCGGCCCCUGAUCAGUGGCGGACGGGUGAGUAACGCGUUAGCAAUCUACCUCUUGGUGAGGGAUAACAACCGGAAACAGUUGCUAAUACCUCAGGAAACAGCAGCAUCGCAUGGUGCAACUGUCAACGAUUUAUUGCCAAGAGAUGAGCUUGCGUCUGAUUAGCUAGUUGGUGAGGUAACGGCUAACCAAGGCGACGAUCGGUAGCCGGACUGAGAGGUUGAACGGCCACAUUGGAACUGAGAUACGGUCCAGACUCCUACGGGAGGCAGCAGUGGGGAAUAUUGGGCAAUGGGCGAAAGCCUGACCCAGCGACGCCGCGUGAGGGAAGAAGAUCUUCGGAUUGUAAACCUUAGUCAACAGGGAAGAAGAAAGUGACGGUACCUGUGGAGGAAGCCACGGCUAACUACGUGCCAGCCGCCGCCGUAAAAC